rnacentral:pre_miRNA from 1 species
UUGAUCAUAGAUUGAUUUAUGUUUGGAUACACUUAUAAAUAAGUGAUUUUCAUGAGUUUGUGUUGUUUGGAUAG